GACGUAGGGCGCGAGCGUUGUCCGGAUUUAUUGGGCGUAAAGAGCUCGUAGGCGGUGUGUCGCGUCGGCCGUGAAAACCUGCAGCUUAACUGUGGGCUUGCGGUCGAUACGGGCAUCACUGGAGUUCGGCAGGGGAGACUGGAAUUCCUGGUGUAGCGGUGGAAUGCGCAGAUAUCAGGAGGAACACCGGUGGCGAAGGCGGGUCUCUGGGCAGUAACUGACGCUGGAGGAGCGAAAGCGUGGGGAGCGAACAGG
rnacentral:rRNA from 1 species